GCCCCGCGAGGGGAGCCCUAGCACAGGUGCUGCAUGGCCGUCGUCAGCUCGUGCCGUGAGGUGUUGGGUUAAGUCCCGCAACGAGCGCAACCCCCGCCGUUAGUUGCCAGCGGUUCGGCCGGGCACUCUAACGGGACUGCCCGCGAAAGCGGGAGGAAGGAGGGGACGACGUCUGGUCAGCAUGGCCCUUACGGCCUGGGCGACACACGUGCUACAAUGCCCACUACAAAGCGAUGCCACCCGGCAACGGGGAGCUAAUCGCAAAAAGGUGGGCCCAGUUCGGAUUGGGGUCUGCAACCCGACCCCAUGAAGCCGGAAUCGCUAGUAAUCGCGGAUCAGCCAUGCCGCGGUGAAUACGUUCCCGGGCCUU
rnacentral:rRNA from 1 species